GAUCAGUUUGAUGAAGAGGACCCUAAGGAAGGGCACUCAAAAGUGGCAUUUUUUAGCUACUUCUACCUAGCUUUGAACCUGGGCUCCCUCUUCUCCAACACUAUAUUGGGGUAUUUUGAAGAUGAAGGGAUGUGGGCGCUAGGCUUCUGGGUUUCAACAGGCUCUGCCUUAGCAGCAUUGAUCUUGUUUCUUGGAGGAACAGCCAGAUACAGGCACUUCAAACCUACUGGUAACCCUCUUUCCAGGUUCUGUCAAGUCUUUGUUGCUGCAACAAAGAAGUGCAGCGUCCAAAUGCCAGAAGAUGCAGAGGACUUGUAUGAUGUAGAUGGAAAAGAGUGCUCUGUGAAUGGCAACAGAAAGAUACUCCACACUCAUGGAUUCAAGUUCUUGGAUAGAGCAGCUUUCAUCUCAUCAAGAGAUAUGGAUGACCAGAUGCAGGGUUGUCGCAAUCCAUGGCGUCUCUGCCCAAUUACACAAGUGGAAGAAGUUAAAUGUAUAUUGAGACUACUCCCAAUUUGGCUCUGCACCAUAAUCUACUCGGUGGUUUUCACACAGAUGGCUUCUCUGUUUGUAGAACAAGGUGCUGCAAUGAAAACUACCAUCUCAAACUUCAGAAUCCCUCCUGCCAGCAUGUCUAGCUUUGACAUUCUCAGUGU
rnacentral:misc_RNA from 1 species